AUACGUAGGGUGCAAGCGUUAAUCGGAAUUACUGGGCGUAAAGCGUGCGCAGGCGGUUUUGUAAGACAGUGGUGAAAUCCCCGGGCUCAACCUGGGAACUGCCAUUGUGACUGCAAGGCUGGAGUGCGGCAGAGGGGGAUGGAAUUCCGCGUGUAGCAGUGAAAUGCGUAGAUAUGCGGAGGAACACCGAUGGCGAAGGCAAUCCCCUGGGCCUGUACUGACGCUCAUGCACGAAAGCGUGGGGAGCAAACAGGAUUAGAUACCCUGGUAGUCCACGCCCUAAACGAUGUCAACUGGUUGUUGGGUCUUCAUUGACUCAGUAACAAAGCUAACGCGUGAAGUUGGCCGCCUGGGGAGUACGGCCGCAAGGUUGAAACUCAAAUGAAUUGACGGGG
rnacentral:rRNA from 1 species